rnacentral:rRNA from 1 species
UACAGAGGUCUCAAGCGUUGUUCGGAUUCAUUGGGCGUAAAGGGCGCGUAGGCGGCGGGGUAAGUCUGGUGUGAAAUCUCGGAGCUCAACUCCGAAAUUGCACUGGAUACUGCUCUGCUUGAGGGUUGGAGAGGAGAUCGGAAUUCACGGUGUAGCAGUGAAAUGCGUAGAUAUCGGGAGGAACACCAGAGGCGAAGGCGGCCACCUGGACAGACACUGACGCUGAGACGCGAAAGCGUGGGGAGCAAACAGG